GAGUGAAGAAAGCAUGAUAAUGUGCACAGAAAUUGAUUUGGGUCUCUAGGCAUGCCCUCUCUGAUUUCUUUCUACUUUGAUUUGGGGGCAUGGUUCCGUAGCAAAACG